rfam:Salmo salar isolate Sally breed double haploid chromosome ssa11, whole genome shotgun sequence.
UGGCUCAGUUGGUAGAGCAUGGCGCUUGCAACACCAGGGCUGUGGGUUCAACUCCCAU